rnacentral:piRNA from 1 species
UCAGCAGCAGACUAGAUCGAGCUUUCUCC